GAUGAACGCUGGCGGCGUGCCUAAUACAUGCAAGUCGAGCGAACAGACGAGGAGCUUGCUCCUCUGACAUUAGCGGCGGACGGGUGAGUAACACGUGGAUAACCUACCUAUAAGACUGGGAUAACUUCGGGAAACUGGAGCUAAUACCGGAUAAUAUAUUGAACCGCAUGGUUCAAUAGUGAAAGACGGUUUUGCUGUCACUUAUAGAUGGAUCCGCGCCGCAUUAGCUAGUUGGUAAGGUAACGGCUUACCAAGGCAACGAUGCGUAGCCGACCUGAGAGGGUGAUCGGCCACACUGGAACUGAGACACGGUCCAGACUCCUACGGGAGGCAGCAGUAGGGAAUCUUCCGCAAUGGGCGAAAGCCUGACGGAGCAACGCCGCGUGAGUGAUGAAGGUCUUCGGAUCGUAAAACUCUGUUAUUAGGGAAGAACAAAUGUGUAAGUAACUAUGCACGUCUUGACGGUACCUAAUCAGAAAGCCACGGCUAACUACGUG
rnacentral:rRNA from 1 species